rnacentral:rRNA from 1 species
UAACUGGAGAGUUUGAUCCUGGCUCAGAACGAACGUUAGCGGCGCGCCUAACACAUGCAAGUCGUGCGAGAAAGGGCUUCGGCCCCGGUAAAGCGGCGCACGGGUGAGUAACACGUAGGUAACCUACCCUCUGGUGGUGGAUAACCUUCCGAAAGGAGGGCUAAUACAGCAUAAGACCACGGCCUCGCAAGAGGCAGGGGUAAAAGCGGGCUUCUGCAUGCAAGCUCGCACCAGGGGAUGGGCCUGCGGCCCAUCAGCUAGUUGGUGAGGUAAUGGCUCACCAAGGCAAAGACGGGUAGCUGGUCUG